rnacentral:rRNA from 1 species
AGUCGAGCGAGCGGAACCAACAGAUUUACUUCGGUAAUGACGUUGGGAAAGCGAGCGGCGGAUGGGUGAGUAACACGUGGGGAACCUGCCCCUAAGUCUGGGAUACCAUUUGGAAACAGGUGCUAAUACCGGAUAAUAAAGCAGAUCGCAUGAUCAGCUUUUGAAAGGCGGCGUAAGCUGUCGCUAAGGGAUGGCCCCGCGGUGCAUUAGCUAGUUGGUAAGGUAACGGCUUACCAAGGCGACGAUGCAUAGCCGAGUUGAGAGACUGAUCGGCCACAUUGGGACUGAGACACGGCCCAAACUCCUACGGGAGGCAGCAGUAGGGAAUCUUCCACAAUGGACGCAAGUCUGAUGGAGCAACGCCGCGUGAGUGAAGAAGGUUUUCGGAUCGUAAAGCUCUGUUGUUGGUGAAGAAGGAUAGAGGUAGUAACUGGCCUUUAUUUGACGGUAAUCAACCAGAAAGUCACGGCUAACUACGUGCCAGCAGCCGCGGUAAUACGUAGGUGGCAAGCGUUGUCCGGAUUUAUUGGGCGUAAAGCGAGCGCAGGCGGAAAAAUAAGUCUAAUGUGAAAGCCCUCGGCUUAACCGAGGAACUGCAUCGGAAACUGUUUUUCUUGAGUGCAGAAGAGGAGAGUGGAACUCCAUGUGUAGCGGUGGAAUGCGUAGAUAUAUGGAAGAACACCAGUGGCGAAGGCGGCUCUCUGGUCUGCAACUGACGCUGAGGCUCGAAAGCAUGGGUAGCGAACAGGAUUAGAUACCCUGGUAGUCCAUGCCGUAAACGAUGAGUGCUAAGUGUUGGGAGGUUUCCGCCUCUCAGUGCUGCAGCUAACGCAUUAAACACUCCGCCUGGGGAGUACGAC